GCAUUGAAUUCCCAUUCAUAAAACUGUCUUGAAAAAGGUACGUUUCUUUUCAAGCCAGUUUUAUGAAUGGGGGAUUCAAUGA